UAGUCGAUGACAAAGGAGCCUGGCUUUUCGAGGGUGAGGGCAAGGCCGUUGAGGGAGGGGCCUUUGGCGAUGGUGGCAUCGGUCGUGGAGACCUUGAAGCGGAGGUCGCCGACGGGGGCGGCGAGGGUGGCCACGGCGGAGGUCUUGUCGGCCUCGAAGCGGCCCUUCACCGUCGCCUUCAUGCUGGCGACAGCGGCGGCGGCGGCGGCGAGGUGCGGG
rnacentral:misc_RNA from 1 species